rnacentral:piRNA from 1 species
UUGCCAUUCAGUAAAUUUUAUCCUUGGGGA